UACGUAGGGCGCAAGCGUUUGUCCGGAAUUAUUGGGCGUAAAGAGCUCGUAGGCGGUUUGUCGCGUCUGCUGUGAAAACCUAAGGCUCAACCUUGGGCUUGCAGUGGGUACGGGCAGACUAGAGUGCGGUAGGGGUGACUGGAAUUCCUGGUGUAGCGGUGGAAUGCGCAGAUAUCAGGAGGAACACCGAUGGCGAAGGCAGGUCACUGGGCCGCAACUGACGCUGGAGGAGCGAAAGCGUGGGGAGCAAACAGG
rnacentral:rRNA from 1 species